rnacentral:snRNA from 1 species
CUCAAGAAAUCAAAGACA